rnacentral:rRNA from 1 species
GACGAAGGAUGCAAGCGUUAUCCGGAUUCAUUGGGUUAAAGGGUGCGUAGGCGGACCUGUAAGUUCAGUGGUGAAAAUCUCUUUGCUUAACAAAGAAACUGCCAUUGAUACUGCAAGUCUAGAGUAUAGAUGACGUUGGACGGAAUAUGACAUGUAGUGGUGAAAUACUUAGAUAUGUCAUAGAACACCGAUUGCGAAGGCAGCUAACGAAACUAUAACUGACGCUGGAGG